rnacentral:rRNA from 1 species
UACGUAGGGUGCGAGCGUUGUCCGGAAUUAUUGGGCGUAAAGAGCUCGUAGGCGGCUUGUCGCGUCGGAUGUGAAAGCCCGGGGCUUAACUCCGGGUCUGCAUUCGAUACGGGCAGGCUAGAGUUCGGUAGGGGGAGAUCGGAAUUCCUGGUGUAGCGGUGAAAUGCGCAGAUAUCAGGAGGAACACCGGUGGCGAAGGCGGAUCUCUGGGGCCGAUACUGACGCUGAGGAGCGAAAAGCGUGGGGGGAGAACAGG